rnacentral:misc_RNA from 1 species
GAUGAAGAACGUAGCGAAAUGCGAUAAGUAAUGCGAAUUGCAGAAUUUCCGUGAGUCAUCGAAUCUUUGAACGCACAUUGCGCCCACUGGUAUUCCGGUGGGCAUGCCUGUUCGAGCGUCAUUAUCCUCCCUCAAACCCCGGGUUUGGUGUUGGACCCAAGUUGUGUGAACAACUGGUCUCAAAGACAAUGACGGCGUCCGUGGGACCCUCGGUGCAACGAGCUUUUAGGAGCACGCAUCGAGUUGCAAGGACCUUCCGGGCCGGUCUCCUUUACCAUUUUGCAAGGUUGACCUCGGAUCAGGUAGGAAUACCCGCUGAACUUAAGCAUAUCAAUAAGCGGAGGA